AUUGAACGCUGGCGGAAUGCUUUACACAUGCAAGUCGAACGGUAGAGGGGCAACCCUUGAGAGUGGCGAACGGGUGAGUAAUGUAUCGGAACGUGCCCAGUCGUGGGGGAUAACGUAGCGAAAGUUACGCUAAUACCGCAUACGAUCUAAGGAUGAAAGCGGGGGAUCGCAAGACCUCGCGCGAUUGGAGCGGCCGAUAUCAGAUUAGGUAGUUGGUGAGGUAAAGGCUCACCAAGCCGACGAUCUGUAGCUGGUCUGAGGGGACGACCAGCCACACUGGGACUGAGACACGGCCCAGACUCCUACGGGAGGCAGCAGUGGGGAAUUUUGGACAAUGGACGCAAGUCUGAUCCAGCCAUUCCGCGUGCAGGAUGAAGGCCUUCGGGUUGUAAACUGCUUUUGUACGGAACGAAAAGGCUCUGGUUAAUACCCGGGGCUCAUGACGGUACCGUAAGAAUAAGCACCGGCUAACUACGUGCCAGCCGCCGCAGUAAUAC
rnacentral:rRNA from 1 species